rnacentral:rRNA from 1 species
UACAGAGGUCUCAAGCGUUGUUCGGAUUCAUUGGGCGUAAAGGGUGCGUAGGCGGCGCGGUAAGUCGGGUGUGAAAUUUCGGAGCUUAACUCCGAAACUGCAUUCGAUACUGGCGUGCUUGAGGACUGGAGAGGAGACUGGAAUUCAUGGUGUAGCAGUGAAAUACGUAGAGAUCAUGAGGAAGACCAGUGGCGAAGGCGGGUCUCUGGACAGUUCCUGACACUGAGACACGAAGGCCAGGGGAGCAAACGGG